GGGACCGUGGGGUAGCUUGGUUAUCCUCGUGGCUUUGGGAGCCAUGGACCUGAGUUCGAAUCUCGGCGGUCCCA
rnacentral:tRNA from 2 species